rfam:Methylomicrobium album BG8 chromosome, whole genome shotgun sequence.
GGGGGCGACUUGGCUUCGACGUGGGUAGCGAAACCUUAAGUGCAUGCCGAGGACUGUACACCUCGUAAAACCUACAGAAAAAAAGUAUUCGCAAACGACGAAAACUACUCAAUGGCUUUGGCUGCCUAAAAACAGCCACCAUUCCUUUGACUGUCUGUGCUUAUGCGGGCAGAGUUCUUAAUGUCCUUCGGGACAAGCGGAACGCUCAGAGGUCAUUCACAUAAGAUCGCGCCAAAAUUUGUCCGGGGUGGCGGCGCUAAAACCUAACGGAAUCGCUGACAGUUUUCUUGGCCCGACGGGUAGCUGGCAGCUAAAUCAAAAGCGCGGGAUAAGCAUGUAGACCUUACGGCGGAGUACUUGCGGACGCGGGUUCAAUUCCCGCCGCCUCCACCA